UUUUAAACAGGCACUGGGCAAGGGGCCUUGAAAUGUGCGCCCUGUUUUAAAAGCACAUGGGAUAUAGUGCUGCUUUGUUUGGUUUUGUUUGGUUGUGUUUGGAGUCGCCCUAUAGGAGAUGCAGAUAAAUUGAGCAAUGCUGACUGUGUAUGCUGAUAGCUGCUGGUGUAGAUCUGGAUAAAUGCUUGAACAUCAACUGAUUGUUAUAUCUGCUAUCUGCCAAUGAAGGUUCAUAAGCUGCCUUACGUAUUUCUGACCUAUGCACCUGCUUCGCCGGCCCUUCCGGAGACUGAAUAUAUUGCACUCUGCUCACCUAGUGCCCAAACAAUCUAAACCAAUUGCGGACCAAUACCUGAGCCACCAUACUUGCUCAGUGAGCCCUUAUGGGAAUAGCCUGAGUGAACUUGGAGAAUACAUCUGUAAGCACCAAGACAUUCUCUCUUCUAUCACAAAAAAUUCAUAUUUCGAAUUCUCUUUCUAAAUAAAAAUUAAAUGACGAGAA